rnacentral:rRNA from 1 species
AUUGAACGCUGGCGGCAGGCCUAACACAUGCAAGUCGAGCGGAUGAAGGGAGCUUGCUCCUGGAUUCAGCGGCGGACGGGUGAGUAAUGCCUAGGAAUCUGCCUGGUAGUGGGGGAUAACGUCCGGAAACGGGCGCUAAUACCGCAUACGUCCUGAGGGAGAAAGUGGGGGAUCUUCGGGCCUCACGCUAUCAGAUGAGCCUAGGUCGGAUUAGCUAGUUGGUGGGGUAAAGGCCUACCAAGGCGACGAUCCGUAACUGGUCUGAGAGGAUGAUCAGUCACACUGGAACUGAGACACGGUCCAGACUCCUACGGGAGGCAGCCGUGGGGAAUAUUGGACGAACGGCGAAAGCCUGACCGAGACAUGCCGCCUGUGUGAAGAAGGUCUUCGGAUUUUAAAGCUCUUUAAGUUGCGAGGAAGGCCAGUAAGUUAAUCCCUUGCUGUUUUGACGUUACCUACAGAAUAAGCCCCGGCUAACUUCGUG